rnacentral:rRNA from 1 species
UGAUGUGAUAUACCAGCACUAACGCAUCGGAUCCCAUCAAAACUCCUAAGUUAAGCGUGCUUAGGCGAGAGUAGUACUAGGAUGGGUGAGAAGUCCUCGUGUUGCAUCUU